UACGUAGGGGGCAAGCGUUGUCCGGAAUCAUUGGGCGUAAAGAGCGUGUAGGCGGCCCGGUAAGUCCGCUGUGAAAGUCGGGGGGCUCAACCCUCGAAUGCCGGUGGAUACUGUCGGGCUAGAGUGCGGAAGAGGCGAGUGGAAUUCCUGGUGUAGCGGUGAAAUGCGCAGAUAUCAGGAGGAACACCGGUGGUGUAGGCGGCUCUCUGGGACGGUACUGACGCUGAGACGGCGAAAGCGUGGGGAGCGAACAGG
rnacentral:rRNA from 1 species